CAGCCGCCGCGGUAAUACGUAGGGUGCAAGCGUUAAUCGGAAUUACUGGGCGUAAAGCGUGCGCAGGCGGUUAUAUAAGUCAGAUGUGAAAUCCCCGGGCUCAACCUGGGAACUGCAUUUGAGACUGUAUGGCUAGAGUGUGUCAGAGGGGGGUAGAAUUCCACGUGUAGCAGCGAAAUGCGUAGAUAUGUGGAGGAAUACCGAUGGCGAAGGCAGCCCCCUGGGAUAACACUGACGCUCAUGCACGAAAGCGUGGGGAGCAAACAGGGUUAGAUACCCGUGUAGUCCCUGUCUCUUAUAA
rnacentral:rRNA from 1 species